GACGAACCGUGCGAACGUUAAUCGGAUUCAUUGGGCUUAAAGGGCGCGUAGGCGGCGGCGUAAGUUCGUGGUGAAAUCCCAUCGGCUCAACCGUGGAAUUGCUUCGAAUACUGCGUCGCUCGAGGGAGAUAGGGGACCGCAGAACUGCCGGUGGAGCGGUGAAAUGUGUUGAUAUCGGCGGGAAUGCCAGUGCCGAAAGGGGCGGUCUGGACCUCUUCUGACGCUGAGGCGCGAAAGCUAGGGGAGCGAACGGG
rnacentral:rRNA from 1 species